rnacentral:rRNA from 1 species
UGGGGAAUAUUGGACAAUGGAGGAAACUCUGAUCCAGCAAUUCUGUGUGUGUGAAGAAGGUUUUAGGACUGUAAAACACUUUUAGUAGGGAAGAAAAAAAUGACGGUACCUACAGAAGAAGCAACGGCUAAAUACGUGCCAGCAGCCGUGGUAAUACGUAUGUUGCGAGCGUUAUCCGGAAUUAUUGGGCUUAAAGGGCAUCUAGGCGGUAAGACAAGUUGAAGGUGAAAACCUGUGGCUCAACCAUAGGCUUGCCUACAAAACUGUUGAACUAGAGUACUGGAAAGGUGGGUGGAACUACACGAGUAGAGGUGAAAUUCGUAGAUAUGUGUAGGAAUGCCGAUGAUGAAGAUAACUCACUGGACAGAAACUGACGCUGAAGUGCGAAAGCUAGGGGAGCAAACAGG